rnacentral:lncRNA from 1 species
AUGAUGGUCCAAGGGAAAAAAUGUCCAGUUCAGCCUGCAACUCAACAACUGUACGAAAGCUUUUUUCCAAGAAAUAAUUGUAUUUCUAGAUGGCAUCAGUGGAAAUUUACACAUACUUCCCCUUUUAUCAACAGAACAUUAAGUUUUGGGAAUCUGGUUCAGAGAAUCAUGAAAGACCAGCGGAGGCAUCACUGUGAGCAAGAGUAAUAACCACAAUAUUUAACCAUCAAUAGGAAGAGGACUUAAAGCAAUCAGAAUACAGUAAGUCUGGAUCAAAGUUUUUCGGGUCCUCUACUGAUUCAGAUAUUAUCCCUUCAGUUGCUGGAUCCUAGGUUUGCUAGGGGGAAGGCAUAGGGGCUUAGGAUAGUGACUAUUUACCAAGUACUACAGAAAUAUGUCAAUGUACUAAUGUUACUGGCUGAAAUUCAGUUCCUUUUAUGGGAAUAAAAAGUCUUUCUCUUUGAAGAAUGUUGCCCGGAAAUUUAUCUGGAUCUACUGUAUUUAUUUCUUAAAUCUCUUCUCUUGCCCAUCUGUGCACUCAUGCAAAAUUUGAUCAUGGAUUUGCUCUUUAGAUUCAGAUAUCACUCUGACUUAUUAUUUCAUCUUUACCUCUUUCCCACAUGCACUAAUAUUUUAGGCUUUGGUGACUCACUUAUCUCUGCUAUUAUUGGUGGCUGACCUCAGUUUAUUGCUUUUUGAUUACUUUGCUACAUUUGUAAAUUUUUCAAACAUAAUUUUGGGAAAUCAAAGAAUGCCAUCAUUCUAUACAAGAGGUGAGGGAAAUAUAUAGAGUAAGUACCUUUCAAAGUUAAAAGGGUAGUGCUUCAGAUGCAAUUAAUAUGUGUUCUCUGGUAAAGUAGUUAAACAAAUCGGGAAAACAAUAAGUGGUUAUGAAUUUAGACGUUUUCUGUGGGAAAACAAAGAAAGUCUUGAUAAACCUCCUGGGUUAAAGUUCAAUUAACUAUUGAUUAAUUAAUUUAAAUAUUUUUAAAAUUAUAGUUAUGGUAUUAUUUUCAGGCUUGCUUUCAGUCAACAUUCCCCACAGCAUUGGAAUGUUGUGUAUAGUGCUUCUUUAAAAAUAUUUAUUUCUAGCUCCCAUUCUGAAGAGAAAUUUUUGUUACCGAAUGAGAAUUUCCUAGAAGAGGACCUGGAAAUCUAGAUGUUAAGAAGCACCCCAGUUAAAUCUUAUAAACAACCAAUUUGAGAGACAUUGUU